UACGGGGGGAGCAAGCGUUGUUCGGAUUUACUGGGCGUAAAGGGCGCGUAGGCGGUUCGUUAAGUCCUGUGUGAAAUCCCCCGGCUCAACUGGGGAACUGCACAGGAAACUAGCGGGCUUGAGUUCGGGAGAGGGAAGCGGAAUUCCAGGUGUAGCGGUGAAAUGCGUAGAUAUCUGGAGGAACACCGGUGGCGAAGGCGGCAUCCUGGACCGACACUGACGCUGAGGAGCGAAAGCCAGGGGAGCAAACGGG
rnacentral:rRNA from 1 species